rnacentral:rRNA from 1 species
GACGAACGCUGGCGGCGUGCCUAAUACAUGCAAGUAGAACGCUGAAGGAGGAGCUUGCUCUUCUGGAUGAGUUGCGAACGGGUGAGUAACGCGUAGGUAACCUGCCUGGUAGCGGGGGAUAACUAUUGGAAACGAUAGCUAAUACCGCAUAACAGUAGAUGUUGCAUGACAUUUACUUAAAAGGUGCAAUUGCAUCACUACCAGAUGGACCUGCGUUGUAUUAGCUAGUUGGUGGGGUAACGGCUCACCAAGGCGACGAUACAUAGCCGACCUGAGAGGGGGAUCGGCCACACUGGGACUGAGACACGGCCCAGACUCCUACGGGAGGCAGCAGGAGGGAAUCUUCGGCAAUGGGCGGAAGUCUGACCGAGCAACGCCGCGUGAGUGAAGAAGGUUUUCGGAUCGUAAAGCUCUGUUGUAAGAGAAGAACGAGUGUGAGAGUGGAAAGUUCACACUGUGACGGUAUCUGACCAAAAAGGGACGGCUAACUACGUG